GCUUGGGUAGCUCAGUUGGUAGAGCACUUGCCCGCGAUGCUACGGUCGCAGGUUCGAAUCCUGCCUCGAGCA